CACGUAGGGCGCAAGCGUUGUCCGGAAUUAUUGGGCGUAAAGAGCUCGUAGGCGGUCUGUUGCGUCUGCUGUGAAAACCCGGGGCUUAACCCCUGGCUUGCAGUGGAUACGGACAGACUAGAGGUAGGUAGGGGAGAAUGGAAUUCCCGGUGUAGCGGUGAAAUGCGCAGAUAUCAGGAGGAACACCGGUGGCGAAGGCGGUUCUCUGGGCCUGUACUGACGCUGAGGAGCGAAAGCGUGGGGGAGCGAACAGG
rnacentral:rRNA from 1 species